rnacentral:lncRNA from 1 species
UGGCUACGUAGCGCACAAAAAGCGCGUCGCUAAAGGAAUAAAGGUGAUUGUCUUCCUGGCACUGCGUGGGUCGUCUGUUCCUUGGGCCGGUCAUCCUGCCGCUCUCGGCGUCGAGCCGCCAAAUACGUAACAGCUGGUGGCAACGGUGACGGCGGUUGGAGCGCACGUUGGCGGUGACCUUGGCGUCCAGUUUGUGUGGCCUCCUCGGACGGACGCGGCCUCGUUCUGGAUGCUUUGCUCGUCUUCGUCUCACGGAACGCAGCCGCCAGAGCCCGUGAGGGACAAGAGCGGGGCAUUUUCACACGCCCUCAUCAACACCGUCAACAAAUGGUUCAAUCGGCGCUCGGAGCUGCUGCAGGUGUCCAAUGGUUACCCGCGUCGUUGGACGGCGUUCGUGUCCCUGGUGGCCGAGCUCUUACUGCAACCGAGGCGGCAAAACUGUGUCGCUCGCGAUGUCUCGUUCCUCGCCACGUUGCUCUGCAACAGUUGCCUCGUCAUUCUACAUCCACCAAUGCUAGGCAACGACAGGCAGAUGGAGUGACUGCGAUAGGUGCUGACUGCUGCCGGCUCAGCCGUGCAGAGGACCGUCCAUGGCUUAUGCACAUCCUGACUCGGCGCAUGCGCAACGCCUCCGUGCUGUCGAUUGUCUCGGUUCAGGCACGCCAAACGCUGCUACAACUGAUCGAGCUGCACGCCUCCGGGUGGCAGCUGAGUGCACCGCACGCUCUGUACUACCAUGGCCCGCUUGUGCAACCGGGCUUCCUUUAACUAGAAGCUGGCGCCAAGAGGAGCACAGGAGCAGCCGCGGGCGGUCAACACUCGGGCACUGCCGCUGCCUAUUACCGCUUCUGAGAUGUGAACACCUCAGUAAAAGCGCGCGGAUUGCCUCCGUGGCAGCCUCCAGCCUACCCUACUCUUCUGUAAUAAUACCGUCAACUACAAGAAUUG